rnacentral:rRNA from 1 species
AUACGGGGGGGGCUAGCGUUGUUCGGAAUUACUGGGCGUAAAGCGUACGUAGGCGGACUGAUCAGUUGGGGGUGAAAUCCCAGGGCUUAACCCUGGAACUGCCUUCAAUACUGUCAGUCUUGAGUUUGGGAGAGGUGAGUGGAAUUCCUAGUGUAGAGGUGAAAUUCAUAGAUAUUAGGAGGAACACCAGUGGCGAAGGCGGCUCACUGGCCCAUUACUGACGCUGAGGUACGAAAGCGUGGGGAGCAAACAGGAUUAGAAACCCUAGUAGUCC